GGCCUAUUCUAAAUGCUUGCAUUUAUUGGAUUUCUAUACUAAUUAUAUACCGAUAUACCGUAAACAUACGGUAUACGCCAGCUCAAACAUGUAACGUAACGCAGAGCGAACAGACAAAAUUAAAAACUAUAUUUCAAAAAAAAUAUGUGAUCGCACAUGCACACGCAAUAUCAUUAUAUCCAUGCAUAGGUUUUACGGUUGCUGGCAUUUGCGGACUAUUUAAUUUUUGGUUUCUAUGCAAUUUUCUUUAGCAUUUUUGGAGUUUGCAAAAAACUGCAUUCUCUGGCGUGUGUUGUCAGAGGCUUGUAGCUGAGCUAAGGGCGAAAACUAAAUUGACCGCCAACGGCGUUGUAUGGGCAGCCAUAGUCUCGCUGCUACAGGGGGUUUUGGAGUCAGGGGCUCUAAAACGGUGCUCUGAAAGGUUGGCUCCCUCUGGCGGUGAGUUAGCGCUGAUGGCAGUUGAAGAGAAAGAGGAGAAAGCGAUGACAUUCGAACGUCAUCCAGCGGAUCCGACCGGUCUCAUAGUGGAUGGGAGCGUGUCCAUCUUCCUUUUGGAAUUUGGAUGUCGAGCGACCAACAUCGCCCCGAACAGGCUCAGCAAAAAUCAUUAAGAAAAAGUUCCAAAGUCAAGAAAAGAAUAUUGUCAAAGCGCGAGUGGUAUGCAGCAGCAGCAAAGCAAAAGUCGCGGGACUAGGAAAACUGAAGCUAUGUCGGCUUGGGGCUAAGAUUGACGGAUUUGGCGCCUAGCAAUUUGGGCUGGCGAAGCAGCGGCGCUCCAAGCAGCUGAUCCGUCGCAGCACAGAGCGAGGGAGCAGAGACGCAGAAAAAAAUUCUGAGAGACUCGACCUUCGCGGGCAGCCGGAUCGACGUCGGUGAGGCGGCGGCCACAAAGCGGGACGGUCGAUAAUCCGCGAUAGCGAAAAAUUCAGCAACCGGCGAAAUACGAACGGAGAAAAAGGAGGAAAAUCACUCAAAUCCUACCUAAACGUGCCGUAUGCCAAAUAAAGUUAACAAGGCCCAAUUAAGAUCCGCAGUUUACAUAGUGAGGGAAGGUGUUAGUGUGUUGUUGGAAUUCAAUACUCAGAGCUGCAAGGUUAAUGCCCCAAAAAAAUAAAGAGGGCGAGCGGAGCCAAAGGUGAUGCGCGCAUAGGCAGAGAGUGAAAGCGGGGGAGAGAGAGAACACGCAAGCAGCAAAGGCAGAGCCCAAUAGGAGAGCGAGCGAGCUAUAAAAACGCUCGCCAGCAACGGAGCCGAAGGGGGCUGGCGAUAAGCCGGGAGAAGUAACAUAAGUUAACAUAAGAGUAAGCAGAAUAGUACCGAGCAGCAGAACAGCUAUUUAAGUUUACAUAGAUAUACAUAAAAAAGAAAUGCAGAAAUGAAGAACAGCAGUGAGGGAGCAUAGAGUAGGAAAAUAAGGGCAAGAGGAAGAGUGAAUAUGAAACUAAAACAAAUCCAUAAAUAGAUAACCUUCCAUGCACAGAUCAAAACAAAAAAAAAUAACAAAACCCCAUAUGCUUAUAACCGAAAUGCAAUAAUAAUACACCCGAACCCAAAAUAUCAUAUUAACUACAGUUUUUCAGCAACCAUCAGAAAACGCUUUCGACGGUGGAUCCGCAGUAAAAGUGAGUUUAUUUACUAGGUGUUUGAUCACAAUCAUUUGGGCAUGGAAGAAAUUGUCUAUGGGUGUUCCGACCAAAUUGCCUUACCGUUUCGUAGCCCGUAAGAAUCAACCUUUAUAUUCUAUCUUUAAAUUUUAAUCUUUACCAUUGCACAUUUAUUCAAAUACUAGUUUAUAAGUUUACCUGAUCCUAGUUCAAGGGAUUCAGGCCCAGGUAGCCUAUGGGAGGGAACAUAUACCCCGUAUUUUUAUGUAUAAUUUAGUUCCAAUAAAUAUCAUUAUAAUGUUUAA